rnacentral:tRNA from 1 species
GGAUGAGCUGGGCAUCGGCGAGCCCACCUCCCUGUAAAGGAGACGCUUCGGCUGUGCAGGUUCAACUCCUGCCUCAGCCA